UAGGGAAUCUUCCGCAAUGGACGCAAGUCUGACGGAGCAACGCCGCGUGAGUGAAGAAGGAUUUCGGUUCGUAAAGCUCUGUUGUUAAGGAAGAACGAGUGUGAGAAUGGAAAGUUCAUACUGUGACGGUACUUAACCAGAAAGGGACGGCUAACUACGUGCCAGCAGCCGCGGUAAUACGUAGGUCCCGAGCGUUGUCCGGAUUUAUUGGGCGUAAAGCGAGCGCAGGCGGUUAGAUAAGUCUGAAGUUAAAGGCAGUGGCUCAACCAUUGUAGGCUUUGGAAACUGUUUAACUUGAGUGCAGAAGGGGAGAGUGGAAUUCCAUGUGUAGCGGUGAAAUGCGUAGAUAUAUGGAGGAACACCGGUGGCGAAAGCGGCUCUCUGGUCUGUAACUGACGCUGAGGCUCGAAAGCGUGGGGAGCGAACAGG
rnacentral:rRNA from 1 species